GACUGUACAAAGGUAGCAUAAUCAUUUGUCUUUUAAUUGAAGGCUGGAAUGAAUGGUUGAAUAAGAAAUUAACUUUCUUUAUUAUAAAUUAAAAAAUUAAUUUUUAAGUUAAAAAGCUUAAAUAUAUUUAAAAGACGAGAAGACCCUAUAGAACUUAAUAUUUUCUAAAAAAAGAAGUAUUUAUAGCUUAUAAAAACUUUUCUAAAAAAUAUUGAAUUGGGGUGAUUAAAAAAAAUCAAUAACUUUUUUUAUUAUUGUCAUUUAUAUAUGAUUAAUUUUUGAGCCUAAAUAAGGAUUAUAAGAAUAAGUUACCUUAGGGAUAACAGCGUUAUUACUUUAGGGAGUUCAUAUUUAUAAAGUAGUUUGCGACCUCGAUGUUGGAUUAAAUUAAGAAAUUAAUGUAUCAGUUUAUUUUCUAGGUCUGUUCGACCUUUAAAUAUUUACA
rnacentral:rRNA from 1 species